UACGGGGGGAGCAAGCGUUGUUCGGAUUUACUGGGCGUAAAGGGCGCGUAGGCGGUCAGUGCAAGUCAGUUGUGAAAUCUCCGAGCUUAACUCGGAAAGGUCAACUGAUACUGCUCGACUAGAGUGCGGAAGGGGCAACUGGAAUUCUUGGUGUAGCGGUGAAAUGCGUAGAUAUCAAGAGGAACACCUGCGGCGAAGGCGGGUUGCUGGGCCGACACUGACGCUGAAGCGCGAAAGCUAGGGGAGCGAACGGG
rnacentral:rRNA from 1 species